rnacentral:rRNA from 1 species
GUCCACGCCGUAAACGAUGAGAACUAGCCGUCGGGACCCUUGAGGUCUUGGUGGCGCAGCUAACGCGAUAAGUUCUCCGCCUGGGGAGUACGGCCGCAAGGUUAAAACUCAAAUGAAUUGACGGGGGCCCGCACAAGCGGUGGAGCAUGUUGUUUAAUUCGAUGCAACGCGAAGAACCUUACCACCCCUUGACAUCCUCGGAACUUUCUAGAGAUAGAUUGGUGCCUUCGGGAACCGAGUGAC